GAGACAAACGUUAAAAAAAUCGUAACAAAAAUCAGUUCAAAAUCAAACUCAGUUACAGUUUCUCCCAUUCAAUCUCUAAAGUCUGAAUAAUUUGUAAUUUGUGAAAAAAUUGAUCUCCUGCAAAAGCAGUUCAUAUAACAAAGUGAAUAAUGUUCAGUGUUGUGUGCAACACUCCUACCGAUCUUCAUCCUCAAUAAAAUAUAUAUGCGAGUAUAGAUGACGCUAAUGUCAAAAUCAAAGGACGCUUGACGUUGUGUAGCUUGAAGUAAAGACCACAGGCAUUACAAACGGGAUUGCCAUUUAUAUUGCGACGCCAUAACGAGGUAGUCGUAGUCGCGCAAUUGGAGCAGGAAAUACCAGCUCUUCGUGAUGCACUCUGUGAUAAAAGCGAAAGUUUAUUAGAAAAUUAAAAAUGUGGUUGUUUAAUUAAAGGACGAUUCAUUCCGUUCAUUUUGUGAUAAAGACCGCACGCAUUGCAUAAAUAGUGUCCGGUAUUAUCACGUCGC